rnacentral:lncRNA from 1 species
GGGGCGGGGGGGGAGUGCCUGACAAUAGUUUACUCCGGAAACUCCUGUUUGAAUGCUAGGCUACCUAUAUCUGUAGACCCCAGAGGGCAGCCAUUAAAUAAUUAGGCACUUAGGGAUGGAGAAUUGUCUCAAAGACCAAACAACAAGUUACUUAAGACUCUUCUGGCAGACCAGAGGACCUUGAGGAUUGAGGAGACCUCUCGUCCUAUCUUGAAUUGUUCCAAAGGACGGAAGGAGGACUGGAUCCGGGCUCUGGCUUGCCUCAUUGCCCCCAAACACAUUCCCAGAAACGCUCCCCAGGGCCGAACCAAGAACUCAAGUGUCUAACCCACAGCGUCAGCUCUCAGGUUCAAGUUCAAGUCCUCCGGCGUACAUCGGGGCUUCCUUGUCUGCUGUUAAAUUUUAUGUGGAAAUGAAGCCGAAAAUAAUGUCCUGAGAUGUGGAUGAAGAGUGCUGUAACGAAACAUUGUACCAAAACGAAGACUGUGCUGUACGCGCCCCUCAGACAACUACUCUCCUGCAGGCGAGGAUUGUCACCCGGGGGGAGUGUGGCAGGAGUGCCGUCACAGUGGCAGAAGGAGAAGGAGAGAGAAAACGAAACCUGGGAAAUUGCCCGCGCUCACUUUUUCUCCUCCCCGGACCUGAGUUCAAGAGCCUGUCUCGGAGUCGGGCAGUCUCCGGUUGGGAAGGCCCUCGAUCAUGACUUUUUCGUCCCGACCUGUGCAGAUCCCCCACCUCUACCCAUCUCCAGCUGACACGUUUGCUCUGAGAAGGGAUUGGUGAAUAUCGCCCUCUCCCGGAUCUCCGGAAAUUCUCCCCAGCGCGCUGCAUCCGCUUCUUCCCAAGCUCGGAGCGCCGCACACGCAGCGGGGCGGGACCUUCAGCUCAGGGCGACGGUGUCCUCGGUCCCCUCCCCGAGGGCCGAGGCCUCCAGAGCCCCAGAUCCGGGACCCAGGCCCUGAGCCGGAUCUGAGGAGCGCACUGGGCCCGAGCCCCUGCUGGAGCCCGGAGCUCGGCCGGGGAGAGAGCUCAGCCACACGCGCCCCCGGCUAUGGCCCGGACCCCGCUCGGCUCUGCCGCUGAGUCCGCGCGCGGGGGAAAGCCCGCAGACCUUCCAGGACUUGCGGAUUGCCAGCCCCGAAUCCCUAAAGAGCUCGGCCCCGAGAGUCUCCUUGUGGUGUUUGGUGGCCGCCGCGAGCGGGCUUGGCGUCCCCCACGGCAGAGGGGAGGUCGAGGGGGAACUGGUUCCCGGUUCACCCUUCAUCUCCUACCAGUCACCAGCCGAGGCCCUGCCCCGUGCUCGCAUGGAGGCACCGAGAUAGCCCUGGCCCAGCAAAUGGCUCCUGGGUCGUCCUGGCGGGAGCGGGCCCAGGGCGAGGCGCGCAGGUGAGGUGCCAGGCUCGGGGCGCCCAGCCAGCGGCGCUUGGGGGCACCGGCUCGCUCCACCUGGCGUCCGCGCGGCCGGAGUGCCGCUGCGGCAGGCGGGCAGCGGCGGCGCAGCGACGGGCUGUGGCGCCACCUCCCGAGAAGACCUAGCAGGAAGCGCGGCUCCGCAGGUGGCCCGCGGCGCGCGCCUUCCGGGUGGCCGGAGUGCCCCUCGGCCAGCGAUUUGCCCUCUCAACGCCCCGAAACACCUCCAGAAAUGCCUGUGGCAGCAAUUACUACGCCGAUGGUCGCUGUCCUCCCCAAGUGAUGAAAGGGAGGUCCUAGCACCCCAGGAAGAUCUUGUGCCCCUGCCUGGGGAAGGCGAAAAGGCUGCAGCGGCCCUGGGACGCGAUGGCCUUGUGUCGGCUAUCAAGGGAUCUCGGACCCCCCUCACGUACGUGAAAACCGGUCCCCAAGAGUCCAGCAAGGAGAAGUAGGAGGAGGUGACUGGAGGGGAGAGGUGUUUGUGGCCCCCAAGGUAGGCUCCAGGUUGCAGUGGAGUCAAGCCGUCGGCAAGGGAUCCAGCUCUGCUCCUCAGACUCGAGCAGAGCAGCCUGUCUGCGGCCACCUCCACUCCCUCUCCGAGGACGCACCCGGCCACUCUCUGCACCACCGCGGGCGAUAGACAGAUUGUCCCCUCCGUUCCUGCCAACCAGCCCCUCACCACCCAGACCACAUCUCCCCGGACUUACUAUGUGUUGCUGCUUCCAGCUAUGUGACUUUACUCACACUAAUUCCCAGAAGACCAAGCAUUCGUACGGAUAACAUGAAAGGGUGUGGACGUGGACCAGGCACAUGGAACUCAGCCCUCUGGACACACGGGAAGCUUUUAAGAAGACACAGCACCCAAGCUCUAUCUUCAAGGGUGAGGAGUAUGCCAGACAUAAGACCUGAGAGGACAGCGGUCUACACAGAGGGAACAUCCUGGAGGGAAUGGCACACAGCAGAGCUUAAAAUAAAGCAGCACAGAGACAGCUGUGGUCCAGCUGCCCGCCCUGUCGGUGGCAAUCGCCUCCCUGGUCAGGUUCAUCUCUGAACACCUGGUUGGGACAUGAGGCAAAUGCAUUUGUUUCCAAUUCAUCUGGCUCUGUUCUUACACGAUGUUUCACAUGUGCUGAAGAGAGAGAACUUUUACUGCGAGAUGCUCUGGCUGACCUGCGAGGGCUCGAAUGCUGCUCCAGAGACUCACACGCUGGGAGGAAGGAAUCCUGAAGCAUAGAGACUGAGCGGCUGCAGACCCAGAAAGGAAAAUGUCAGGCUGGGGAGGCUGAGCCUCUCUCUCUCCAUCAAGUGCAGUGAGAGCCUGUGCAUUUCGAGCAGAGGUUUGAGAGUCACAGCAGCAAGUAGGCUUGAAGCCAAUAAUCAGAAAGUGGACGGUCUGGUAAUGUGUUGAAGGAAAUCUCUAUAGGCAACUUUUUACUCACUCUGUUAGAAGAAAAGCUCCUUCAGGGAAUAGUAAUGCAGGUGUGCUGAAGGAAUGAGAACCCCAGCUUAGGAAAACCUGGGCUCCACGUCAGACUCUGUGAGAUGCCGGGCAAGUCACCCAACCACUCUCUGUGCCUCAGUUUCUUCUUCUGUGAACUAGACAAAGUUCACUUCAGCUCUGUGACCCAUGAUCCUACACUUAUGCCCAGCUCCCCGCUGGCUACAGAAGUUUGAAACUCAACCUCUCCACAUGUACCCUCUUCCCUAAGAUUCGUUAUUAUCACAGCACCAGUUGCCACGAUGAAUUGAGCACCUGCAAACUGUGGGCGAGCACCGUGCUGGCACUUUACAUAAACUAUCCUGCUAAUCCUCACAACACCUGGAUGAAUUAUUGUUUUCAUUUUAUAGAUGAGGAAACUGUGGCUCCAAGAAACUACAAAAGUUGACCCAGCUCACUCAGGUGUCGUUGGGAGAGUCAGACGUCAAACUCAGAUCUGAUUCAGUUUCUGAUCCCCAAAUCUGGUGCAUAUUGGAAAGAAAAAUCAGGUGUCUCCUC